CGUAGUGGCGGACAGGUGAGUAACGCGUGGGUAACCUGCCUCAUACAGGGGGAUAACAGUUGGAAACGACUGUUAAUACCGCAUAAGACCACAGCACCGCAUGGUGCGGGGGUAAAAACUCCGGUGGUAUGAGAUGGACCCGCGUUCGAUUAGCCAGUUGGCGGGGUAACGGCCCACCAAAGCGACGAUCGAUAGCCGAUCUGAGAGGAUGACCGGCCACAUUGGGACUGAGACACGGCCCAA
rnacentral:rRNA from 1 species